CGCUCGGCUGGUUCUAAAAGUAUUAGCUGGUCCUUGAAACUCUUGGUUCUACUCGGCGUGAUAAUUAUCUGACGUUGAGGACAUCUCUUUUACUAGAGGUGGCCAGGAUUCUCUGUGGAUUGCUUUCGAAUCGUCUUUCAAACAGACAAUCUAUUUCAAUAUCUGACCUCGAAUCAGGCGGGACUACCCGCUGAACUUAA
rnacentral:misc_RNA from 1 species